UUAUCAUAUAAAUAUCAUAUAAAAAUGAUGACUUUAAUAAUCAUUAUGUCAUAAUGACUUACCAUGGCAUUAUUUUUAUUCCAUUUUUUCCGUUUUCUUUUUCACUGGCGGGUAUGGGGUGACAUGGGCUGACAUGAAUUCAUCCAAUGAGGAUCGAGUGUGUUCAACGGUCCUGCUUUGAAUGGCCAAUCACGUCAAAGUGAACGGGACAAAUCGCAAUCACAGCGCUUGCAUCUCUGGCUCCGACAACAACUUUUCUCAUAAGACCUUGUCUUGUAUUGUGUGUUUUUUUGUUGUCUUUCUAUGUGUUUGCGUCGUCUGUGUUCAUUUGUUUCACUUUGGCUGCGAAAACGGCACCGAGAGAGCGCUGUUUUUCGAUCGCGAGAGAGAGGGCAGACAGAGCUAGCUACUGGUAACGUUAACUGUUAGCUAGCUUGUGAUAGCAGUAACUUUAACUGACCAGAUUCUCUUUUUUUUAAACUUACUGAAGCCACAAAAUGGUAUAUGACACAUGUAGUACUUGCUGCGACAGUACGAUGGUCGUUACUGUGUCGUUAUUUUAUAUUUUUAUGCUGCGCAAGAGAAGAGUAUUUUCCCGCCUUUCUGUUUUUCAACACCUUCUCCGCCUCCGUAUGCGUUUUCCUUCCGGAGGCAGCACCACCAAGCACACGUCGCGACGUCCAGAAACUCGGUAAGUAGGACUACUAUCACUAUAAGUAAUAAAAUCAAAUAGUAAUACACAAGUAGUAAUCAGUUUGCUUGCCAUCAGUUACUAUAUAUGCUCCUUUUAUCUGUUUUAUGUACAGCUUGUAAGAUAUGUAUGCUCCCUGCCCUGUUUUUACAGUCAUUCAUGUGAACCAGAUCAUUUAUAAAAUGGACUGCUGUGAAAUAUGAUUUUUGUUAUGUCUGACUUUAAGGAGAGACAAUCCUGACUGCAAAAAAAUGGAUGCUGUCGAUCGAGGGGAGGGUCAUAAUCCCACCUGCUGCUCACGUGGCUGACUUCACCACUGCCUUGGCUGGCCACUCUCUUCGCCUGUUACUAUGUUUUCAACCUAGAGUAUCAGGGGGAAACCUGCACAACUUUGGAGUUUAUUCAGAGGAUUAAUCCUGACUCCACCAAGUGCAGUGCCAAGGAGCAGAUGAGCCGGAAGACUGGGAGAGUGGUGAGGAGGAAGACUUGAUACAUGAACCCCCAUGUGAUCUCCUUCAUCAUGGAGUUCAUGAAGGCUUCACUUCAUGGAGGCUAACUGACUAGAUACAGGGCUCCUGUUUUGUCCAAGCCCAAGGAAGUUUUGUCUAAAAGGUUUGGUAAUGUGCUUUAUGUUCCUGUUCACAAAAAAAUAAAUAACCCUGUUAACAAAU